GGACAAGAUUCUGCACUUACAAACCAGUCCAGCGAGAAGACAUACACCCAAGACAAGCAGUGGCUUCCGAUUCCCAAAAGAAAAUCCUGUAAGACACGACUCUACAUAGUGGAAGCCCUCCACCAAAUAUCAGCUGUUCACAUGGCAACUAUAACCCGGAAGCAAGUGAAAGCUCGGCUUUAUGGAAGAGUGGCAAGCCACGUGAAAUCCUACUUGGACUUUACCAAAAGGCAUAUUGGAGACUCUGCAAAUGUGGGAAAGGGCAUUCUGGUAUAAAGAGCUACCUUGGCACAACUCUGCUCAUCACCCUGGACAACAUCUCUACAGUGAAGCAUGGUGGUGGCAGCAUCACGGUGAGUUUCACUUUGUAACCCAUUAAAAUGUGGAAAUGG